AGAGAUUUAUUUUACCCUCAAUAAUGUUUACCCAUAAGGUACCAUCUGGUCACCAUGGAGGCAGCCUGGCGUCCCCGGGCUUUCCCGGAAGGGGUAGAGAUGGCACCAGGACACCACUUUCAUCCAGCUCUCCUUCCAUGCUCCUCUUUCCUUUGGUGACAACAGAGUCCUCCUCACACACAGGGGUGAACAGCGCACACCGCCCAGCACAGCCUGACUGCGCACACGGCCUGCUUCUGCACACUGGCCACGCACCCUUGGAAAGCCAGAUAUUACGGAAAUUCCGGAGUAAAUCCUUAUAUGACACUUCACAAGAGAAAACAGGAGGGAUGCUGCACAAAUGGAAUCUUUCGAGUCAAAACCACAAAGCAGAGCGAAAAAUGCUGGUGUGACACACUAAGUACCGUUUGCAUGGUGCUUAUGUCCCACUACAGGGCUGGGGGCUUCCCGCUGGCUCCUAAGCAGGGUACCACGACCCCCCGUACAGACAGACGCACGGAUGCACUUUAUUGCUGGAUGGUGCAGUGUAGACUCAUUUUCACACGAGCACGCGCAGCCCCCGGGGGGGAAGCGACCCGUCCAAGCGCACACCAUUCUCACCCCCAGAGAGCGGGCUGGAGCCAGGGCCACACCCAUUCACGCCCAAAACGUGUUUUUGCAAAGUGAAAGUGGGAAAGCAGCAUUUAACCUAAUUGGGGGACUAUCGCAUAUAAACAUUCUUCUUAAAAAAAAUUAAUUCUUAGGAUAAAUUGUCAGAGUCCAUUCUUCCGGGAAAAUCCCAACAAAAAUGCAACUGAGGGUCUGCAAUCACUAUCCAGUCUCCCCAAAUCCCAAAAUAAGGGGAGCGGGCCAGGGCCGGCUCCGUGUAAGCGGGAAGCGCCAGGAACCGAGUCCUCAGCCGGUGAACCCGCUCGGGAACUAGGGGGGCAGGCGGCGGCGACCCCCAUUCCCACCCACGCCCCGACGCCCGCCGUCGCCCCACCCCGACCCCCCCAGCGCCCCGGCCCACCCCCGCUCGGGCGUCGCCCCGCACCCGCCCGGCAGCCGCACCCGGGCGCGUGACGUCACGGCGCUGCUAGGAGACGGGGGCGGGGCGACGGCGGGGUGGGAGGGGGCCUGCAGGGGGGGUGCCGCCCUCGGCGCGGCCCGGCGCCCGCGGCCAGGGGAGAGGCCGCAGACUCACCGCGCAGGCCCGGGCCGGUCCGCUCCGCGCGGGCCGCUCCUCCUCCAGCGCGGGGCCGGGCUUCCUGACGACCCCCCCGACGGCUGGGCGGCACUCCGGCGUGCCCCGGCGGCGGAGCGCGGAGUCCACUUGUCCGGGUUUUGGGAGCUGGCGCGGCGCGGAAGGCGGAGCCCCGCGGGGGCGGAGCCCGGCUGGGAGCGGUGGCGGGAGGGGCGUGGCCGGAAGUCCGCGUUGGCCACGCCCCCCGCCCCGCGCCGGCUGGAGGUAAAGCCCGGAGCCCGGGGCGGCUGGGCCGGGUCUGCAGGGACGGGAGGUUUGGGAUCCUCCGGGAAGGAUCGACGUAACCGAGUGGGCCGGGACUGGGGAAAAAGAGUCAGACGGCCCGGAAGGAAGCAGGCGGGGCGCGGGGCCUGGUGCACUCGGAAAGUGGGACGUCUGAGUGUGAAAGGGAGGGCAGGGGCCUGCAAACCCAUUCUGCCUGGAGCUGGCAGAACAGCUGUCAAAUUAACCGGACACGCUGAGAAAACGGAAGGCUGUGACUCCGCCAGGUUACCAACAUUACGCAGAGGUGCGUGCACCUGCCGGGUUCUGCCUCUUGCUUCUUCCCUCACCCCCGCCCCACCCCGCUACCCCGAGUUCUGUCUCUCCUUGUCAUUUUUAGUAAGUACCUUUAUCAUAGUUGGAUGCAUUCCUGAAGAAUAUGUUGUUGUCUUUCUUCCUUUUGAGCUUUAUAAAAAUAGCGUAACAUAUAUAGCCUUAUGGGAUUUGCUUUUAUCCUCAAGCGUUUGUUUCUUCGACUCAUCUAUGUUGUUAAGAGUAAACAAGCGAUAG
rnacentral:lncRNA from 1 species